AGCGUAUAUUAAAGUUGUUGCAGUUAAAAAGCUCGUAGUUGAAUUUCGGGAUCGAAUUGUUGGUCGUGCUUCGGUACGUACUGGCAUUAUUGGUUCCUACCUUCUGAAGAACCGCGAUGUCAUUAAUUUGGUGUCGUGGGGAAUCAGGACUGUUACUUUGAAAAAAUUAGAGUGUUUAAAGCAGGCGCACGCUUGAAUACAUUAGCAUGGAAUAAUGAAAUAGGACGUUUGAUUCUAUUUUGUUGGUUUCUAGGAUCGACGUAAUGAUUAAUAGGGAUAGUUGGGGGCAUUAGUAUUCAAUUGUCAGAGGUGAAAUUCUUGGAUUUAUUGAAGACUAACUACUGCGAAAGCAUUUGCCAAGGAUGUUUUCAUUAAUCAAGAACGAAAGUUAGGGGAUCGAAGACGAUCAGAUACCGUCGUAGUCUUAACCAUAAACUAUGCCGACCAGGGAUCGGAUGAUGUUAAUUUUUUAAUGACUC
rnacentral:rRNA from 1 species